rnacentral:rRNA from 1 species
GACGAACGCUAGCGGCAGGCUUAACACAUGCAAGUCGAGGGAGAAACUUUUCUUCGGAGAAGCGGAAACCGGCGCACGGGUGCGUAACGCGUAUGCAACUUACCCACGAGAGAGGGAUAGCCCAUGGAAACGUGGAUUAAUACCUCAUGGUUUUUUUGGACCGCAUGGUUCGAUCAAUAAAUGAAUUUCGCUCGUGGAUAGGCAUGCGUAUGAUUAGCUAGUUGGUGAGGUAACGGCUCACCAAGGCAACGAUCAUUAACUGGUCUGAGAGGAUGAUCAGUCACACGGGAACUGAGACACGGUCCCGACUCCUACGGGAGGCAGCAGUGAGGAAUAUUGGACAAUGGGGGCAACCCUGAUCCAGCCAUGCCGCGUGGAGGAAGACGGCCUUUGGGUUGUAAACUCCUUUUAUAUGAGACUAAUAAGGUGGUAUACUCACCGAUGCAGGUACCAUAUGAAUAAGCACCGGCUAACUACG